CCUACGGGAGGCAGCAGUGGGGAAUAUUGGGCAAUGGACGAAAGCCUGACCCAGCAACGCAGCGUGAAGGAAGAAGGCUUUCGGGUUGUAAACUUCUUUUAAGAGGGAAGAGCAGAAGAGGGUACCUAUUGAAUAAGACACAGCAAACUACGUGCCAGCAGCCGCGGUAAUACGUAGGUGGCAAGUGUUGUCCGGAUUUCCUGGGUGUAAAGGGCGUGCAGUGGGGAAGACAAGUCAGAUGUGAAGUCCCGCGGCUCAACCGCGGAACUGCAUUUGAAACUGGUAUUCUUGAGUACCGGAGAGGUCAUCGGAAUUCCUGGUGUAGCGGUGAAAUGCUUAGAUAUAAGGAAGAACACCAGUGGCGAAGGCAGAUGACUGGACGGCAACUGACGGUGAGGCGCGAAAGCGUGGGGAGCAAACAGGAUUAGAUACCCUGGUAGUC
rnacentral:rRNA from 1 species